AGGAAGAAUUUCUACAUUGCACUAUUUGUCAAAGAGUUUCUGCAAUUUCUAUUUUGCAGAGCAAGGGUGGCGUGGCGCCUCAACUAGUUGCUCGCGUAUUUUUGGUGAGAUAGAACAGCUUCUACCAGGCCAAUGUUUUCGACAAACAUGGAAAUGAAACAACACAGGAUCAUGGCGCUCCUUCAGAGUAUCCAUUCGAUGUCUUGUCUCCACUUCUGAAAUUUGCAAACAUAAUAGGUUGGAUGCUAACCACUCCGCCUGAAUCUUCAAGACGAGAUCCAAGAUGACAUUGCCACCAUUGGAAACAUCAAAAACAAGCCAUAGUUCACCCAGCUAUCAAGACCUUCAACCUUGUUCAUCUUACCAUGCAUAGAAAUCCAAAAAUUCGUGAAAGGACAGGAAUCUUGUGGAUCCUCAACAUUUGAGUCACUGGUUGGAUACUGAACAUCUGAACUUGCAAAUGUUCGUCGUAAGUCUUGCCUGGACUGCUGAAGAGGCAUCUCUAAUGUGGACUUCUUGGAGUCUUUGCCAGCGAAUGCUUUAUAUGCAGAAUCAGUGUGUAUCGUCUCCAUGACUGAACCAAAAAAGUUUGUCACGGGUACCUCUUCUAGUCGGCGAGGGUAUAGAUCUGUUCGAUAAUAUGCAGUCGACAUCAGCGUAUUUGGGUUAUAUGAACUGAAAAGACUGCCCAAUGAGGCAUUAUCAUACAUGUUCACCCUCUCAAAAAAUGCAAGAGUAUAAAAUGUGAAUCGAUCAAUAACUGAGACACCAACAUCAGCAUCCAAGUGGUGCGAGUAUGAAUUUUCUCCUUUCAUGCUACUCCCAAUUGUCAAUACGCCAGGUGAUUGAAGCUGCGAGAAAAGAGUAGCAGCUUGGCAAGUGUCAACCAUUAUUAGCAGCUCCUUGAAUCUACGCUUUUCUUUCAUUUGUUUCACUGCAUCAGCUAAAUCAUGACUUUGAAGUUCUUCUGAAUCCUGAAAUUUUAGAAACUCGUCUCCGCCAUGCCCUGUCAUGUACAGAAGUAUGUGGCUUCCUUCAUCACUAAGAAGACGUUUUGAUCUUGGGACAGCUGUUUCAUGACGUCCAGUCAGCACCCUCAGAAAAUUUUCAACUGUUACUUCAUAGCCUCGAUAAUCUACCUCAACGUUAUCUCCAUAAAGGUUUAGCCUGUGAUUUUCAUUGUUGAAGACCUGUGCAGGGUAUUUAUUUCGAGUAUUGCAAGCCAUAUCAUCAGCCAACAUCAGAAUAAUUCUUUCAUCAGGUAUGCCUAAUCGUUUUACGGUUCUGUAUAAAGACAAAGUGUUAGCCAUGUGUCUGUAGUUAAACCAGAACCGAGAAGUGCAGACCAAAACAGCCCAAUUGUUAGUAUGCAUCGUAGUGGUCGCAGAUGAACUUGACGCAACCCCAUAGCUCAAAUAAGUAGAGAAAAGAAGAAAACACAAUAGAAAUUCAGAUUUCAUAGUGGAAUCCAUUUU
rnacentral:misc_RNA from 1 species